rnacentral:rRNA from 1 species
AGUGAACGCUGGCGGUAGGCCUAACACAUGCAAGUCGAACGGCAGCACAGUAAGAGCUUGCUCUUACGGGUGGCGAGUGGCGGACGGGUGAGGAAUACAUCGGAAUCUACUUUUUCGUGGGGGAUAACGUAGGGAAACUUACGCUAAUACCGCAUACGACCUACGGGUGAAAGCAGGGGAUCUUCGGACCUUGCGCGAUUGAAUGAGCCGAUGUCGGAUUAGCUAGUUGGCGGGGUAAAGGCCCACCAAGGCGACGAUCCGUAGCUGGUCUGAGAGGAUGAUCAGCCACACUGGAACUGAGACACGGUCCAGACUCCUACGGGAGGCAGCAGUGGGGAAUAUUCGACAAUGGGCGAAAGCCUGAUCCAGCCAUACCGCGUGGGUGAAGAAGGCCUUCGGGUUGUAAAGCCCUUUUGUUGGGAAAGAAAAGCAGCAGGUUAAUACCCCGCUGUUCUGACGGUACCCAAAGAAUAAGCACCGGCUAACUUCGUG